ACUCUUCAACCCUCCAUUUCCUUGUUUGAAAUGUUUUGAGGUGAUUGGAUUUUGAGUACUUGCUCUUUUAUCAAAAUUAGCUUACUCGUAAUACAUUAGCACAAUUCAACUUCGAACUCGGAUUGACUCGGCGUAAUAGACUAUUCGCUGAGGACAUUGAGAAUUAAUUUUCUCUAAUGGCCGACUUUAGACGAUUUGAAUAGCUUCAAAUACUAUAAACCUUUUUUAAG
rnacentral:misc_RNA from 1 species